GAUGAACGCUAGCGGCAGGCCUAACACAUGCAAGUCGAGGGGUAGAGUUCUUCGGAACUUGAGACCGGCGCACGGGUGCGUAACGCGUAUGCAAUCUACCUUAUACUAAGGGAUAGCCCAGAGAAAUUUGGAUUAAUACCUUAUGGUUAAUUGAAAAGGCAUCUUUUUAAUUAUAAGGAUUAAUUGGUAUAAGAUGAGCA
rnacentral:rRNA from 1 species